UACGGGGGGGGCAAGCGUUGUUCGGAAUUACUGGGCGUAAAGGGCUCGUAGGCGGCCAACUAAGUCAGACGUGAAAUCCCUCGGCUUAACCGGGGAACUGCAUCUGAUACUGGAUGGCUUGAGUUCGGGAGAGGGAUGCGGAAUUCCAGGUGUAGCGGUGAAAUGCGUAGAUAUCUGGAGGAACACCGGUGGCGAAGGCG
rnacentral:rRNA from 1 species